GCUGGCUGGCGGGCUUAACACAUGUCAAGUCGAACGAGAAAGGGUCCUUCGGGACCUGAGUACAGUGGCGCACGGGUGAGUAACGCGUAGGCAACCUACCCCCAGGCGGGGAAUAACCACGGGAAACCGUGGCUAAUACCGCAUAACUGUCCAGACCCCACAUGGGGACUGGAUCAAAGGCUUCGGCCACCUAGGGAUGGGCCUGCGUCGGAUUAGCUUGUUGGUGAGGUAACGGCUCACCAAGGCAACGAUCCGUANCUGGUCUGAGAGGAUGAUCAGCCACACUGGCACUGAGACACGGGCCAGACUCCUACGGGAGG
rnacentral:rRNA from 1 species